rnacentral:rRNA from 1 species
GACGAACGCUGGCGGCGUGCUUAACACAUGCAAGUCGAACGGAAAGGCCCUGCUUUUGUGGGGUGCUCGAGUGGCGAACGGGUGAGUAACACGUGAGUAACCUGCCCUUGACUUUGGGAUAACGUCAGGAAACUGGGGCUAAUACCGGAUAGGAGCUCCUGCUGCAUGGUGGGGGUUGGAAAGUUUCGGCGGUUGGGGAUGGACUCGCGGCUUAUCAGCUUGUUGGUGGGGUAGUGGCUUACCAAGGCUUGGACGGGUAGCCGGCCUGAGAGGGUGACCGGCCACAUUGGGACUGAGAUACGGCCCAGACUCCUACGGGAGGCAGCAGUGGGGAAUAUUGCCCAAUGGGCGGAAGCCUGAUGCAGCAACGCCGCGUGCGGGAUGACGGCCUUCGGGUUGUAAACCGCUUUCGCCUGUGACGAAGCGUGAGUGACGGUAAUGGGUAAAGAAGCACCGGCUAACUACGUG